rnacentral:piRNA from 2 species
UUGUCACAGGGUUGGUGGCCAUCAGAAUCUC